AACUUUGGGACGAACUCUCUUCUAGUCCCAAAAUUUGGGACUUAUAAUAUCCCCACUCUCCCGAUCGCGCGUGUUGCUUCUUGUCUUCGAUCUCCCCUCCCUGGUGACGGCAGCGAAGGAGACGGUGGCGAUGGCAACGAAGCGUAAGCUCCCCCUUUCCCCUCGUUUCUCCUCCUCAACGGUGGCCGGUCUUGCAUGCCCUCGGCCGGCUCCUGCUUGCCGCGUUUGGCCCUGGUGACCGAGCGUGGCCGCGUCCGCCCCCUGGUGGCCGGGCGUGGCCGCGUCCGCCCCCUGGUGGUCGGGCGUCGCCGCGUUCUACCCCUGGUGGCCGAGCGUGGCCGCGUCUAGCCCUUGGUGGCCGGGCGUGGCCGCGUCCCAAACUGUCUUCGUUUGCUCGUCUCCCCUGGCGAUGUUCACGAAGGCUUCCUCUCCUCAUGACUGCCUUCAUGUGCUCUUCUCCCGGGGAAAAGAAGAUUGGAUGGAGAAGAAAAUUUGCGUGGAAGAAAAAGAUGAGUUGAUGUGUUUGUAGUUUCUUUGAAUUAACUUGUUUAACUAAGAUUCUUAGAGUGUCGGAUAUUGUUACAUACCAUGAGUUGGAUGCAUUGUAUAUGCUUCUCUUGACUUUUUUGUAUGAUUAUAUAUUGACAACAUUGGGCUUGUAUUAUUGUAGAUUUUAUUUCAAAUAUUAAUAGGAUGUGUAUAUAUGUUAGAUAGGA